AUACAUGCUAAAAACCUCGACUUCGGAAGGGGUGUAUUUAUUAGAUUAAAAACCAAUGCCCUUCGGGGCUCCUUGGUGAUUCAUAAUAACUUAACGAAUCGCAUGGCCUUGCGCCGGCGAUGGUUCAUUCAAAUUUCUGCCCUAUCAACUUUCGAUGGUAGGAUAGUGGCCUACCAUGGUAUCAACGGGUAACGGGGAAUUAGGGUUCUAUUCCGGAGAGGGAGCCUGAGAAACGGCUACCACAUCCAAGGAAGGCAGCAGGCGCGCAAAUUACCCAAUCCCGACACGGGGAGGUAGUGACAAUAAAUACUGAUACAGGGUUCUUUUGGAUCUUGUAAUUGGAAUGAGUACAAUGUAAAUACCUUAACGAGGAACAAUUGGAGGGCAAGUCUGGUGCCAGCAGCCGCGGUAAUUCCAGCUCCAAUAGCGUAUAUUAAAGUUGUUGCAGUUAAAAAGCUCGUAGUUGAACCUUGGAUCUGGCUGAUCUGUCCUCCUAAUCGAGCGCACGGAUUCGGCUGGAUCUUUCCUUCUGGGGAGCCUUAUGCCCUUCACUGGGCGUAAUGGGGAACCAGGACUUUUACUUUGAAAAAAUUAGAGUGUUCAAAGCAGGCCUUUGCUCGAAUACAUUAGCAUGGAAUAAUAGAAUAGGACAUCGGUUCUAUUUUGUUGGUUUCUAGGACCGCUGUAAUGAUUAAUAGGGAUAGUCGGGGGCGUCAGUAUUCAAUUGUCAGAGGUGAAAUUCUUGGAUUU
rnacentral:rRNA from 2 species